UUAUAUGAGAGUUUGAUCCUGGCUCAGGAUGAACGCUGGCGGCGUGCCUAAUACAUGCAAGUCGAACGAGUUCUCGUUGAUGAUCGGUGCUUGCACCGAGAUUCAACAUGGAACGAGUGGCGGACGGGUGAGUAACACGUGGGUAACCUGCCCUUAAGUGGGGGAUAACAUUUGGAAACAGAUGCUAAUACCGCAUAGAUCCAAGAACCGCAUGGUUCUUGGCUGAAAGAUGGCGUAAGCUAUCGCUUUUGGAUGGACCCGCGGCGUAUUAGCUAGUUGGUGAGGUAAUGGCUCACCAAGGCGAUGAUACGUAGCCGAACUGAGAGGUUGAUCGGCCACAUUGGGACUGAGACACGGCCCAAACUCCUACGGGAGGCAGCAGUAGGGAAUCUUCCACAAUGGACGCAAGUCUGAUG
rnacentral:rRNA from 1 species